AUGAACGCUGGCGGCGUGCCUAAUACAUGCAAGUCGAGCGAACAGACGAGGAGCUUGCUCCUCUGACGUUAGCGGCGGACGGGUGAGUAACACGUGGAUAACCUACCUAUAAGACUGGGAUAACUUCGGGAAACCGGAGCUAAUACCGGAUAAUAUAUUGAACCGCAUGGUUCAAUAGUGAAAGACGGUUUUGCUGUCACUUAUAGAUGGAUCCGCGCCGCAUUAGCUAGUUGGUAAGGUGACGGCUUACCAAGGCAACGAUGCGUAGCCGACCUGAGAGGGUGAUCGGCCACACUGGAACUGAGACACGGUCCAGACUCCUACGGGAGGCAGCAGUAGGGAGUCUUCCGCAAUGGGCGAAAGCCUGACGGAGCAACGCCGCGUGAGUGAUGAAGGUCUUCGGAUCGUAAAACUCUGUUAUUAGGGAAGAACAAAUGUGUAAGUAACUAUGCACGUCUUGACGGUACCUAAUCAGAAAGCCACGGCUAACUACGUG
rnacentral:rRNA from 1 species